GUGGGUUGACAGGUAAGGACCAAGCGUUACAUUACUAUUGCCAGUUAUUUGUAUGUUUUUAAAUAAACUAUUAAAAAAGAUUUUGUGUACCAAAUGCAUUUAUGUCCACAAUUAACAUUUUAAAGGUACUUUUCUUCACAUGUGUACUGCAUUCAGGAUUUCAAAUCCCAAGCCACAAGAGCACCUUACAUGGGAUUCUUGGAAGACCACAGAGGCCAUUUCCCUGAGGCAACUUCUGGGAUCCUUAAAAACAACUGUGCUUCUUGCAAAAAGUACAGCAGUGACACUGGCAACAAGCUGAACCUGUUUCAUUGCAUGCAACGCUUCACUAGAGAGUGCACAUCAGAGCACCACCCACUGUUCAGCUCUUUUUCCUAGUUCCUGUCAGCUGCUUUUUGUGUUGUCAAUCAGACAGACCUACAAAGACUUAUGCAGGCCUAUGUUUUCUGUGGGAUUGUGCCACCAAAUCCAACAAAGCAACACAUAAAGGAACAUUGUCACACCAAAUCCCUCAGCCUUGAUCCUACCUUAGUUGCAGGGUUGAACAAACUCUCUCAGGAAGUGACAGGCCAAGUCAAGUACCCUGCAUUACUCAUCUCCCAGAUAGACACUAAGGAAAGGUUUGGCCUGGAAUAUCUGGAGCUUGCUUGUCGCCCCAUCCCUCUUGACUGGAACAAACACAAGUCACAGAAGACCACAACAGGAGGGGAGGGAGAACCACACACCUCAGAGUCUAUGACCCAUUAGCUAGACCACCUGAUGACACCAGACAGGAAACCCUUUGCUCUGGAUGACAUCCCUAGUGUGGCUACAACAAAAACACAACUCAUCCAACCUACCUCCAAGUAGAAGGUCCCCCUGCAAUCCCUCCUCUGCCUUUUACUGCCUCUCCCUGAGCUGCACGCACUGACCCUAUCAAAACGGGUGGCUUGCUUUUCGUUUUGGACCACACAAGAUGGACACAGCCUAUGAGAGAUACCAUUGAUGGCCUUCUGCCAAAAUAUAGCAGACAGAAAGAUUUCCUGACCAAGGUGGAUACAGAGUAUGCUGCCAUUGUACAAGCUGCCUCCAAAAAUCCCAACAGUCUUUUACAAAGCACCACCAUGGGCGACAUCUUAUGUCAGCUGAACUCCUCUUCUUGCUGCUUGGACAUCCUGCCCACAGGUUUCUUCAAAAAGAUCUCAAAGACUCUAGAGCCAGAUCUAUUACAGAUUGUGAACUUGUCUUUAAUUUCCGACGUCUUCCCAGAACUUCUAAA